rnacentral:rRNA from 1 species
UACGUAGGUGGCAAGCGUUUGUCCGGAAUCACUGGGCGUAAAGCGCGCGCAGGCGGCGAUCUACGUCUGGGGUGAAAGCCCGGAGCUCAACUCCGGGACUGCCUUGGAUACGGGAUCGCUUGAGGAUUGGAGAGGCAAGGGGAAUUCCACGUGUAGCGGUGAAAUGCGUAGAGAUGUGGAGGAACACCUGUGGCGAAGGCGCCUUGCUGGCCAAUUACUGACGCUGAGGCGCGAAAGCGUGGGGAGCGAAACAGGA